rnacentral:lncRNA from 1 species
CCUGAAUUUAGGGUUCACCCUAAAUCCCAUGACUAGUGCACUUAGAAUUGAGACACAGAGAAAAGAAGGCCAUAUGGAGAUGAGCAGAGAUUGGAAUGAUGAAUCUACAAGCCAAGGAACACCAAGGAUGGCGGGCAGCCACCAGAAGCUAGGAGAGAGGCAUAGGAUGGACUGUCCCUCAGAGCCUCCAGAAGAAACCAACCCUGCUGACACCUCGAUUUCAGACUACAUGCUUCCAAAACUCUGCUGCCCUGUUUUCCUGGGAACCUGGCCUGGAUAGCACUCCUAGGCUCAAUUCUCCACCCCCUCCUUCCAGCACACAGUAAAGAGGCAAGACGUGGAACAGAUGUCCUGUGAAUCAGGAGGGCCCACGGGCUGGGAGCAGCUUCCUACUCAAGAUUUAGCCUCUCUUCUGUUUGAAUGCAGCCGGAUCUGUUCCCCUGCAUCACUGAGGGGACUUCUUGGUCUCAGAGGAGGAUUCAGAGUUUCUCAAUCACCUGCCUGGGAAUGGAAGAGAGCUGGGGGACGAGGGCAGAGCUGGGGAUGUGAGCACUGACCUCUCAGCCCUGGCAGCAGUGGUAGCUGCUGUUGCAAUGAGCCUUCGCCAUGACCCGGUCCUGGGGGAGCAUCUGCAGAGCGGUGGUUGUCUUGAAAUAGGCCAUGGGAAAGUCCAAGAGAAGCCACGGCUCUUGAAAACCAUCCCAGAAUCCCACUGGAAUGCUUUGCCAGAGGACACUGAGCUCGAAAGGCUAUACAAAAGAGAAUUUCCAAGCAGAGUGACCUCACCCAGACACAGGGGAUCUCAUCCUAGAUUGUGAUGGCAGAGGUGAUGAGAAGGCAAGAGUUGGCAAGCUGCAGCCCACGAGCCAAAUCCUGUUUGUGUACAGCCCACAAGGUGUUUCCAGCUGUGGCAAGGGUGUUUGGAGGAAUUUAAAUGCAAUGGCAUGUCUUCUGGCAGCUGUGGUUGCCCCGGCAACCUCUAACCUUUACAGACGGUCUUGGAUACCAAGUGCCCUUGUGACAGGCUUCUUAGGAAACAAAUUUCCUCAGAACUCAUUCCCCCGAGGACCCAUACCUCUUGAAGAACAGGCUUCCUAAACUUCAACUGAAAGGCAAAACUUGAAAUCCCCAUUUACAAAAAUAGCACAAACCCUACCAAGUCUUUUUACCUCAUCAACCCACAACGCUAUGGGCAAUGACAAUUUAGAAUUUAAAUUUCACAAGUGAAAAAAAUUGUGCUCCAAGUGAGAGCCAAGAACGGGAGACAGAGAUCAAGUGGACCAGCAAACGGAAGGAGCGUAUUUGGGAUGACGGAGUCGUGGUGAGAAUGGAUAAGAUGACGUACGAGAAAACACCUGGUAUGGUGCCUGGAACAUGCUUUUGGAAGGAUGUGUGCAGCAGUGUGGAGGAGUGUAGCCCGGACGAGCGAGCACACAUAUUUGGAAACAGAGACCUGUGCUUCACUGCAAUCCCUCCACUUAUGAGCCGUGUUGCCUUGGGCAAGUUCCUGAACCUUUCUUUGUGGCCAGCUCCUCAUCUAUCAAGUCACAGCACUUACCUCCUGAGAUCAUUGUGAGAAUCUAAUGAGCUAACGUACCUGAAGAGCUUGGUGUAGAUGAGCAUGGCCACCUGGGAGCCAUGUACUAAAGAUGGCAGAAUCUCAAGGUGGAAAGAUCCUGGAUCCCUCUGCCACUUGGAGAAAAAUGGCCUGCGAAUCUGGAAAACACAUUUUACACUUUUUUGUGAACAACAAAUAAACUUCUGCC